rnacentral:lncRNA from 1 species
UUCUCUGACAAAUAUAAGUCCCUUAAUUUGGAAAAUUUUGAAAGAUGGGAUUCGGUGACAUCACCCUCCAAGCAAUUUCCAUCCAAGUACAAGCCCUCCAAUUCAGAUAGCAAUCCAAUGCUUUUAGGGAGCCUUCCUGUAAUGUUGUUACCAGAUAACCACAAUCUCUGAAACACGUGUCUGUUGCACCAUGAAGAAUUUAGAAAGAAGCUAGAAAUUUGCCCACUCAACUUAUUGUUUGAGAGGUCUAAACUCUGCAAUGUGCACAUGUUCCCAAAGAAAGAUGGAAUCUCGCCUUGAAUUUUGUUACUUGAGAGGUCAAGAUCUUCAAGAGAGUUCAUUACUUUCCCAAAUCCAUCUGGAAUGGGACCUUCCAGCAUGUUAUGAAAAAGUUCAAGUGUACGAAGAUUGGUAGUGGAAUUGAAGAGCCAGUAAAAUAUGGAUGAUGAUAUCAACAUAUUUGAGGAGAGAUCAAGCGAGGCAAGAGAAGAAGAAAAAUUCGUAAUUGAAAUAGCUGACAUGAGAAAACUAUCAUCCCUAAGACUACAAUUUCGCAAAUAAAGAUUUUGAAGUUUUGAACUGAAGUUGAAGCUACCUUGAAAGACCGAUGAUGGCAUCUUAUUAUGGGAAAGGUCAAGGAUCACAAGAGAAGAAAAGGUUGAGUGGACUGGAGAUGACAAAACAAUGUUAUUAUCAGAAAGAUAAAGCUCUUGAAGAUUAAGGCAAAAUUUAGACAAUAAUUGAAAUGUUGAGGAUGUCAGCAUAUUAGAAGAAAGAUCGAGGAUGGAAAGAGAAGUGGAAAAGUUGGAACGUGAAUAAAACAAAGAUUGAAUAUGGGUAUCUGAAAGAAAACAGUAAACUAGGCUCAACUCUCUUAGCUUUGGACUAUGAAUCAUUUGCAACCAUUCAGGGUUAUGUAAACCAUUGAUGGCAAGAUGUGUCAGGGAACUCAUAUUAGACAACCACUUUGCAUCCUUAGGUUUGACAUCAAAACCACCACCAAGUGUAAGAUUGUGCCAGAGAAAAUAAGCCCCAAGUCGAAGAGUGUGCAAGAAAGGAAGAUUCCCAAGUCUAAGAGUUUGCAAGAAAGGAAGAUUCUCAACCUGGAAAGGGAGUGCUCCAGAAAAGGAAUUUUCGCUAAGAUCAAGAUACCUCAACUGUGACAGAUUUCCAAAUUGGUAAGCGAGUUUCCCAUCAAGAAUAUCAUAACUGAGAUCGAGAUACGUUAAACUUGUAAAGCUUGCAAGUUGAUAAGGGAUAUUUCCACGGAGAAAAUAAUUGAGACUUAAAUCCAAAGACAAUAAAUGUGUAAGGUUUCCAAGUUGGGUAGGAAUGUUACCACCAAAAUCAGAAUAGGAGAGAUUGAGAUAUCUUAAAUUAGUUAGUGAGCCCAUGAGUUGUGGGAUGUGACUCCCUACAAAACUAUUGUAGCUGAGAUCCAAAUGUUGAAUAUUUUGCAAUGGAAACAAUGAAGUGAUAUAUGAGUGCACCUCCCAAAUGUUCUGUAUUCGAACCCCGGAGACGAAGGAUGGUAACAUGAGCUGUUUGAGGAUCGCAUCGAAUGCCUUUCCACUUGCAACAAUCUCGACUGUUGUCAUCAUCUCUCCAUGUUGACAGCAUGUCACAGGCAUCUAUGAGGCCAAGUUUGAAGUUGAGGAGUGCUUGUCUCUCCCUGUCAAUGCACUUUAUUUCUGCGGUACUGUUGAAUCCGAGAAUGGAUCCUGCAGCAGGUAAGAAGAGCAGCACAAGUACAUAAAACACAUUCAGAAAAUAAUUAGGCAUUCUGUAGUUGUUGAUGAGGAUAUAAUAAUAGUAAAACAUGUUGUGAACUAUUCAUUACAAUAGGAUUUAUAUGGCUGAUAGUCUCCUGCAAUACGAACCCAUACGCUACGUUAUAUAUUUUAUUUCCUUAACUACCCUUCGCUGGCUUUCAAUUUAAAUUUGUUUUUCUUUUUCUAACUUUUAAAAAAUAUCAAGCAUUUUUCUUAUUUUAAAAUUAAAGAUUAUUUAAAAAUUAAUUAUUUAAUAACUAAAUUUUUUAUAGUUAAUGUUAAAAAUUAAUUUAGACAAUAAUUCAUAAAUUAAUUCUAAUUUUCUAUUUAUAAUAAAUAUUAUUUUUGAUAUUAAUAAUUUUGAAUUUGUAAUUAAUAUUUAAAUUAAAUAAUUUUUUUCUUUAAAAUUAAUUAUGAUUUAAUAAUUUUCUUAUAAUGUUUCACUGUCUCCGUCUUUCUUAGUUGUGGAUAUUUGUUUACGUUAUGUUUGAACGUAAUUGGUAUACGUCCUUUAAAAAAAAAAUAAUAAUUUGUUUUUUUAUAAGUUUAAAUUUAAUUUAUAUACAAAGUAAAAGUUAAUAAGUGUACCAAGUUAUUACCUUUUAUUUUAUUUUUUAUUUUAAAAACAACUAUUUUUUAUUUUAUUUUUUUAUUUUAAAACAUAAUUAUCUUUUAAAAAAAUAUAAUAAAAGGUAAUAACUACUAAUACACGUGGCAGUAAUAAUCAUGGAUGAUAAAUAGCUAUUAAUACAAGAAAUGCAUCAAUUCUAUCAAAUCAUACAUAUUCAUCUCAAUUGUUCAACACAGAAUCAAACUAAAUUUUAGAGUAUCAACAAAACAUGGACAAAUCACACAAGAAAAAUAGGUAUGGCACAGGAUAGUUUAUCCUUAUCAUUAGGCCCAAAACUCACAUGGUUUAAAUUCCUUUCAAAAAAUAUUUAAUCAGGAAAUUCUUAAGUCAACCCAAUCAACAAAUCAUAAAAGCAAUCCACUCAUAUCAACAUGACUCUUUUUUUUAUAUAUGAUCAUCUUAGUUACUGAUUCAAACUCUCAAAUCCAUUGCAAAUAUUUAUUUUAAAAACCAAACAAAAUAAGGAACAAAGUUAAUUGUUUCCCCCACACCCCCACACUUAAACUAUGCAUUGUCCUCAAUGUAUGCUUAAUAUAUAGAAUGCAAAGAAAAAGUAUGAGGGUACUUACCUCCUUCAUGGUGGAAGGAAUGCUAGUAGGACUUCAUCAGUAAAGUCAUCCUGCAUCGGAAUGUUAUCUUUUCCCUUUUCAAUCCUACUAAGAUGGUCAACUACUAAAUUAUGUGCACCACUUCUGUCCUGAAUAGGAGUCAACUUGUCCUUCUCGUUCUUAACCAUUGGGAUUCCAUGUUUCUUGGGAACCACAUGUCUAGGGCUCUCCCAAGUGUUGUCAGAAUUGGGGUAUAUAAUACCUGUUUGUAGCAACUUGGUGUCCUCUUUCUUUACAACCUCCAUCAAUUGAGGAUUCAGUCUUCCUUGAGGGUGUCUCACAGGUUUAGCAUCCUCCUCCAAAGUAAUUUAUGCAUUCAAAAAGAAGGGCUAGUACCAGGAGUAUCUGCUAAAGUCCAGCCUAUUGCACUCUUUCACUCUUUGAUAAUCUAUAAUAGCUUUCUCCCAAUAUAAUAGUUGUUGGGUUGAUUCCUUCAUCAUCCUUCAUAUCCAAGAUAUAGAAAUUUGCAGGAAAAAUUAACUUGUCUACUCAGACAAGCACGUCCUGAAGCACACCUACAAGGUUAAUUGUGCUACGGUUGGCUAGUUGAAUGACCACACCAAUAGUCUUAAGAAGUCCAAGAGAUAUAGAAGUAAACACUGAUAAAGGCAUUACAUUUAUGGAAGCCCCUAAAUAUUGCAUGGCAUUGUAAAACUUUGAAUCUCCAAUAACACAAGGAACAAAAAACAUACAUGGAUCCUUGCAUUUCCAUGGUAUUUCAAUAUGAUUCUUAAUCAAGCUUGACACAUUUCUUCCCAAAUUCACAACCUCAUUAUCUUUAAAACGCCUUCUAUUUGUGCAAAGUUCUUUCAAAAACUUGGCGUAUUUAGGGAUUUGCUUAACAUGGGAAUGUUGAUCUCCACCUUUUUGAAAGUAUUUAAGAUCUCUUCGUCUAAUUCCUCCAUCUUUUUGUUUCUCGGCUUCAACCGAUUAAGAUAUGGAGGAGGUGGAGAAUAAGAUGAAGAAGAAUUUUUAGAAGAAGAGUUAGAAGAUACUAACCUAGAUUUAUCAGUGGUAAUCUCAUGUGAUGGUUAACUUGGUUCUUCAUUUUCAUCAAUAUGUGUGUCUUCUUUCUCCUUAUUUUCAUGCUCUUGGGCUCCCUCAGAGCCUUGUACUUGCUUACCCGUUCUUAAAGUAACAACACUUACAUUAUGCGGGUUGAUAACUAUUUGUGUAUCCAGUUUAUUUGAUUCCUUAGCCUCUAACUUAUCCACCCUCUGAGUCAACUCUGCAAUUGAUUUCUUGAUUUCUGAAUUUUGCUCAAGUAUUGUCUUCAUGAAAUCUUGUAACGACAUUUCAAGUUUAGAUUGCUGCCUUUGUUGAGGGGGAACAUAAGGUUUCAUGUUCUACUGAUACCUAUUGGAGGAUGAAUCAUGAUAAUUAUAGUAUGGUCUAUUUCCUCCAAACAUGUUUGCAGCAAAAGCUUGAGAUAUGUUUUCCACAGUAAUUUCCACCAAGCUAGGACAUUCAUCAGUAUAAUGGUCAGUUGAAAUGCAAAGUCUACAUUGUUGAGAAACAGGUAGGCUUCGUUUUACACUGAGAGGGGGGGGGGUGAAUUGGUGUUAGUUCAAAAACAAAAUCUUUUCGCAAUCUUUAUACAAAAGUAUAAAGCUUUUUUAUCUUUCUUGAAAUGCAAGUAAUGAAAAUUCAAUGCAGCAGAAAAACGUAGUUGAAUGCUAAACAGAUAAAGUCGACUAGAAAUAAAAAGUGCAGGGCUAGAGAAAAUCAAAUACUGGUUUUUAUACUGCUUCGACCAACAAUGCCUACCCAGUGUCCUUCCAACCCAAGAAGCAAAUGCACUAUAAUGGUUAUGGUUUUUACAACAAGGAAUUUAUAGAAGCCACACGCAAAAAUAUAAAUCUCCUCUCUAACCCAAAACCAAAAUAUAGCUGCACAACAAAACCAGAUUUGCAGCAAGAAUCCCCUCUUCUGCAAUCUGAACCCAUGUCGAACAAUCCUCAACGUGUAACCAACACUCUUCACAGGAUGUCAAGCCUAUCACAGCAGACUUCACAGGUGUUGCCAAGCCUUCAAUCAACGCAGCAGUCUUCACAGGAUGUCAAGCCUUCAAAGAUCAAUCAAGAAGCACCUUCUUCGUGUAGAUAAUGAUCAAGCAAUCAACGCAAUUGCCUUCUCCCUUUGAAUCUCUCUCAAGAAAGAUCACCACCGUCUUCUUGGAGAAUUCUUGGAGCUGUUAAAACAGAGAAUUCAAUCUGAAACAAGAAAUGAAAAUGUCAGAUCAUCAAAAGUCAUAUAACAACUCGUGUUUUGUCUAUUUAUAGUUUUCUAUUAGACAGAUUGUUUCUCAGUCGAAUAGCCUACUAAUUCAGUCGACUGUAUUAAAACAGUUAUAACAGACAGUCAACAUAUAGGCUCUCAGUCAACAAAAAUCAACACACAUUCAUUACAAUUGACCAAGUCAUCGGUGCUUAACUAACUUUAAAAAAUAUAGUCGUUGGAGCAUGUAAGCAUAACAAAAUUCCAAACAGAUCAAAAACAGUCGAAUAUGCAUUAUACAAUGUCGACUGACACAUGUAAAAACACUUUGAAAUUCUUUUCAACUCAAAAUAUCACAUAACACUGAUUCUCAAAAUCUGUACAAUGAUUUUAGCAUAGUCAAAUUCAUUAGAGGUGUAUUCGACUGGACUAGAACUUUGUCACACAAUUAUAAGUUCAUAAAGGUGCUUGUGAUCUUUCACUUCCAGAAAUAUGAAAUAAAAUUUUUUUAAUCAAUCAGUUCAUAUUGCACAUUUCCAUACAAGCAUGUUCCACAAAUAUAUCACACAAUCAAUCAUAGGAACAUACAUCAUAGUACAUCAAAACAUGUUUAGCAAAUAUGACAAUUAAUUCAGAAUAAGAACAUGUAAUGCAGCAACAUGUGUACUAUUAUUAAGCAUUGUGUUGUCAUCAUCAAAAACUAGUUUGAUAUAGAGUUUGUGUUGUCAACAAUCUCAACAUACAUUUCUUAGCACUUUGUGAAGUUGAGAUUUUAAACAAGCUUGCAAUCUCGUCGAAUUUUCUCUUUAGCUUAUUCAAUCUUUCAUUUAUCCUCUUUCCAUCGAUUGAACCAUUUUCAAUUUCAUGUACUCCUUUCAACAAAGUCACCGAAUUUUCUCUUGUUCCAUACUGUUGAUUGUCUAUUGCCUUCCGUUCUAUGAGAUCUAUACCAUCUUCUAGUGACAAGUCUAAGAAAGAUACUCCGCUUGCAGCAUCUGCCCAUGACCUAUCAAUAGGACUUAAGCCUUCAUAAAAGCUUAGAACGAAAUCUUCCAUUUGGAGUUGAGGGCAUGAAGCACACAGUUUCUUGAAUCUUUCCCAAUACUCACUAAGAUUAUCUUUAUCUCUUUAUCUUAUGUCUUGGAUUUCUCUACAGAUGGUAGAUAAUUUGGAUGCAGGAAAAUACUUUUCAAGAAAGAGUCUUUCAAUAGUUUCCCAAUUUGUAAUCCGUGCAGAGAGAUAAUACCACCAAUCUUGAGCUGCUCCUUGAAGAGUAAAAGGAAAAGCUCUCAUUUUAAGGCUCUUUAUUAUGAUCCGAGAGAUCUAAAAUUUUCACACAACAUGUGGAAUUGUCUUAAGUGCUUGUGUGGAUUCUCCCUUGAUAACCCAUUGAACUUUGGUAAGGCAUUUAAUAGGUCAAGUCUCAACUCUCACUCCUCAUUAGGGUAUUCAAUGUUACUUCGGAUAACUGUAUUGUGGGAGGUGGCUAGUUGUCUGAUAGUUCUUUGUGUCAUUCUGUUUGGGUUAGGAUCAGGUAAAGGAUUAGAUAGUAUAUUUGUGACUAGAGAUAAUGAAGGUGGUAAGGUAAAUUUGUUUCAACUUCCGGGUUAAUUUGAUAAAAUUUCGUUGGAUCAGCUCGGGUCAUGCACUACGCAGUCUACUAGAAGUUGUUUGUUCUUGACUUCUUCUUUUUCUUCAAUUGUUCUUGCUUUAGAGAAAGAUUUCAAAUAAGAGAUAAGAGAGAAUUUGUUUGGGUCCACUCUUAGGAAAGAGAGGUGCGUCACAAUGGACAACUUAAGUACCAAGUCUUUCCUAGCUAAAGUAUAUUCAAACUAGCCUUAAGUAUUUCUCAAGAGAAAUUCUUAAUUAAAACAAGAACAAAGAUUUUGCUAACAAUAAGAAUAAUUAAAGGCUACAAAAUAACUCAAACUAAAUUAAAUGUAUUUGCGUUAAAUAAUAAAAAACAAAUAAAGAUUAAAAUCAAAAUCAAAAUCAAAAUCAAAAUAUUCAAAAUACUAACUGUAUUCCCCGACAACUGCGCCAAAUUUGAUACGCUGUCAUUGAAGCUAUGAAAUUAAUUCUACUUUUCAAGGCAACUUUAGUAUUGACAAGUAGAAUUCAAGCAAGUAGAUAGAAUUAAAGUAACCCGAAGUCGUCUCCUAAUGAAUACGGAAUUGCUUUUCAAUAUUUGACUCUUAUGAAUGCUAUGCAAUGCUCAAGAAUAAAAGUGAGAAACUAUGCUAAUGAAGUUAAUGUAUUCCAAGAUAGAUUCAUCAUCGGUUAUCCACAGAUUAUUGUUCAAUUGAUUAUUGUUGGAGUUUCAAAUUAAUCGAUGUACAUUCUCAAUUAAUUUAAGGGCGAUCUUACAAUUAAUCAAAGUAGAUUCUCAAUCAAAUGCAAGACCUUUCUAGAUUAUUCACAAUGAAUUCAACCAAAGUACAUUCUCAAUCAAAUCCUAUUGUGUUUAAUCAUGUCUAUUCUUAAAUCUCCAAACAAGUUAAAAGCUAAUUAAUAAAAGUAAAUCCUCAAUUAAUUAUAUUUGAAAUUAUUACCACCAACCAAUGUACAUUCUCAAUUAAUAGCAAAAACUCGUUUAAUCAUAUGAAAGUUCCAAAAUAAAAAUCGAAGUAAAUUCUCAAUCAAACCUAGAAACCCUUGAACUCAUAUGAUUAAUAUGCAUUUAGAUUCAAACACCUUAUUAUACAAAAAUCAUUGCUUUUAAUAUGAUUGAGAGAUGAAAGACAUAGAAGAAGAAUAACUCAAAUCAAUAAUCAAAAGAAACAAAUACAUUAAUUCAACUUAACCUUAGAAUCCAUUAUGAAAUUACAGUGGAAUAGCCCUAAAAACUUAGCACUCCAUGAAUGGAGUAACACAUGAUGAAAUAAAAGUGAUUUACUUUUAGUUCUGACACCAACUCAAAACAUCUAAAAAUAGUUUACUUUUAGUUCUGACACCAACUCAAAACAUCUAAAAAUAGUUUUUAUGGUGAUGAAAAUUUUCUUCUUAGCUUUACAUACAAAUAAUGUAUCAUCAUCAAUUUGUAAGACAUUAACCUCAAUUUCCAUACCUUAACACCUUUAUAUAUGUUUUUAUGUAGUGUUUGUCUAACUAUUCCUACCAACUCCUCUACUAAAAUUAGAAAAUUAAAUGGUAUUAUUGGGUCCCUUGUUUCAAAGUCUCUUUUUAGUUAGAAUUCCUCAGUUAGGCACCCAUUUCCUACUACUAACAUUGUAGAUGAUUUCAUUGUAGAUGAUUCCUUAGUAUUUACUAGGAAAUACUAAUCUAACCAUCAUAUGAUACAGAAAAUUCCAGCUCACCGAGUCUUAGGUUUUCUCAUAAUCAUUUUUAAGUGUUAUAACCAUUUUCUUUUUCCUGCUUAUUUCAUCAACAACUUCAUUAGUUACAUAUAUACUAUCUAACCUUCCUCUUCUUUUUAUGAACUUGAUUGUGAACAAUCUAUAAUUUUUGGAAACACUGUCUUUAACCUACUUGUUAGCACCUUUGAUAUGAUUUUAUAUAUACAUCCCACCAAAAAAAUAGGCCUACCUUCAUCCAAACCUAUUGGGUUGUCUUUUUUUAAUUACUAAUGUUAAUGAAUGACGCAUUAUAACUUCUAAGUAUUUUCCCAACCCUUUGGAACUAGUUUACUGCUUUAAUAUAUAACAUUGUCCUUGAAGGUUAAAACUAUCUGCUCGAGGGCUCUUUUCACUCUUACAUUGAUUAACUGCUUAUUUUAUGUCCAUUUCCUCAAUAUCAUCAAGUUGCACCUCAAUAUCCACAUUUGUUAAAGAUAGAAAAUGAAUAUUUAAAGCCUAAUAUGUGUUCUAAUUUUAUCGUUAAACUUUUAUUCCAAAAAUUAUUUUACACUACUUUUCGGCUUCCUUGGUUCCUCACACCAAAACUUGUAUAUUUCCAUCCUUUUUAGUUCGUACUUUAUGCUUCUCCAUCUAAUCCUAGAGUGAAAGUACCUAAAAGUAGUAUCUCCCUACAUUUGCUAGUUCACCCACGCUUUCUGUUUUAAAAUUGCUAGCUUCAUGCGUUGUAGUCUCAUAUCAUCAAAGUUGCUUUCAUCUUCAAUUUAUCUAACUUAAUAAUCUAUGUGAUGAGUUUUUGGUUGUGUUCAUGAUCCCAAAAACAUCUUUCUUUCUGCACAAUUUUAAAUCAUAUUACCUCCUAAUCCUUUUAUAUUUAGGUUUAUAAUUUUAAUUCAUCAAUCAGUAAAUAUUUUGAUUUGAUUAUUUUUUUUUCUUUUUUUCCUUUUCUUGUUCUUCAUCUUUUCCUCUUUUUUCUCUCUUUCUCUUCUCUAUGUUUUUCCUUUUUUUUUCUUCUCUUUCCUCUUCUUGUGCUGAAACAACUUUGUUAAUUAUUAAAGAACGGAAAAAUUGUAAGUGCUGAAAAUAUAAAAAACAGGAUCUUCUCAAAACUCUUGCAAAGUUUACAUUAAUAUAUCAACGCACCAUUUUGUAAUUUUUGUAAUGUCUUUUAGCACCUCCAUUUUCUUAUCCGCAUCUCCUCUCUGUUCUCAUGACAAUGAUGGUCUUUCUCAAGGAAUGAGAUUUCACUAAAGCAUGGAAUAUGAAAGUUUAAUUUGUCUUUAUACAUAAUUUCCUCAAAGAUUCUUCAAAGUCUAUCUGUUUCAAUUUCCAGAAUUUGUUUAUAUACAAAAUUUCUGCGGAGACUUUCAAAGUCUAUGGAAUUGUUUAAAUUUCCAAAUUUUCUUUAUUCAAAAACUUUUGCAAAGACUUCUAAAGUCUAUGUAAUUGUUUCAAUUCUCAACAAUGAUGUAAUAACACAUUCAAUUUUCGAACCCAUUAAAUACAACUAUAUAUUUAAGCACAGAUGCGUAUAUUAAUUAUAGUAAACUCAUGAGUCAUAGGUUAAAAAAAGAAUUAAAAUUUCGAUACAAAUCAAUUUUGAGUCUGAUUUACUUGGAUUGAACCUGUAGUGAGUUGGACUGGCUCAAUAAUCCACUUAAUUCUUUUUUUUUUUAAUUACACUUGGAGUUUAAGAUGAAUUUGGAUUAUAUUUGGAUUGUAUUAUAUUUUUUUUUAAAUUGUGUAUAGAUUUUAAUAUCAUUUUAGAUUGAAAUUUAUCUAGAUUUAAAUUAAAAAAAUGUUAUUUUUUUGGAAAUAAAAAAAUUUAUAAUUAAGUGAGUAAACUUGUUUAACCUAUCAACCCGUGUAAGUCGAAUCAAAUUCAAAUUUUUGAACUCGUUAGUAAAUGAAUCGAGUUAGAUUGAUUAAUUAUGUGACUAACCCGUAGUAAGCUAGACUAGAUCGAGGCCAGAUGACCCAAUUUGCAAGUACUAUUUAUAUGUUAAGAUAGUAAAUAAAUAAAUAAAUUGAUAUAUAGAGAGUAAGUAGAGGAAAUAUUACCUCUAUAUUUUUUAUGGUAAUAAAACAUGAUAAAUAUGAUUAGAAAAAAUUGAUAUAUUAUUAUUACAAUAAAAAUUAUUAUUAUAUAUAUAUAUAUACUACAUAUUAGUUUUAUUAUAAAAGUAUAGUAAUCAUAACAAGUUUUCAGCAGUAUUUUUCAUUGUAUAUUUUGAAAAUUUGUCGUAUAAAUUCUCAUAGAACUCGUUAGGUGUAAACGAUAUAUUCACCUCAAUUAUCACCCAAAUUUGUCUUUGGAUGAAAUUUCUAUCAAGCUAAAAUAUCAAAGUCUGUUUACGCAUUUUAUUAGGCGUUAUUUUUGUCAUUACCAACGAUUUUAACUUCUGGUAAAUGUAUAAUCAAUAGUGAUCACCGGGGCUUUUGGUCAAAACUGUUACUAUUUUUAGAGGUUUUGGUCAAAAACCGUUGCUAUUUGCAAAACUUUUAUAAAUUAUCAAAAUUUGCAACGAAUCGCCGGAACUGAUCGAAACUUACGAACUAUCAGAACUUACAGGGGUUUUGUAAACUGCCGGAACAUACAAUGGUUCCAAAACCUCAAAAUGCAUGUCAAAUUGGUUUUUUUUUUUUUUUUGUAUUAUUUAGUUGAUUAUGAUAAAAAAUGCUAUAAUAAACAAAACACAUAAUAAAAUAAUUGGAAACUAAAAUUGAAUAUUGUAUAAAAUAAAAAUGUUUUGAUACAAGUAAGUGUUCAAUAUAAAUAAUAAUUAUUUAAAUACACAUUUAAAAGAAACGUGUUCAUUAAAAAUGACUAAUUUUGAUCUUCAAUUCAAUUCAUCAUCAUUUGGUUCCUUCUGCCAUUGGACUUAGAAUCCGGAGUGUCACUCUUCUUUGUAUCAAAAAUCUCCUUUUGAGCCUCCACCUCCAUACUCCCCGUUUGACUCUUCUGGCGUCUUUGAUCCUGAAAUAUCAGCCACUUCAUUAGAUAAAGAUACCAUGUUUCUUAACAAGAAGAAUUUAAUGGUGUUAUUGCAGAGGAGCAAACUGAAAUGUUCUUGUAAAAACAUAAAAAGAACUGAACAAAGUUGGAAAGUUCUUGUGAUGUAAUAUCAAACCUCUCGGGGUAUGUAAUAUUCCUCUUAUUCAAGCAUGCAGACAACUUGACUUAUAUUUGGUCUUUCCUCAGAAUCUGGAUCGGGACACCUUAAAUCAGUCAAAAGGGCAUGUUUAUGGGCACUUGUUGAAGGCCUGGUCUCAAUGUUAAGGUCUCCCACCUCUUCUGCACGCGUAUUCCCAAUCAUCAUCUUGAGCCAGUCAACAAAAUUUACCUACAAACCAUCCAACGAUCGGACACAGUGUUGAGAGAUGUGACAUCCCAAAAAUACUAGUUUUAUUAUAAUAUUCAUCUUUUCAAAUGAAACAUAAAAGUUACAUAGAUCUCUAAAAUACAUACAUAUACAAAAUCCUAAUCUAUCAUUCUUAUACUUGACUGUCUCAUGCUACUUCCUACAAGAACCUCUACAAGGACAUCUACUUAGUCCUCUCCACACGUAUAUAAGGUGUAUAUAUAUAUAUAUAUAUAUAUAUAUAUAUAUAUAUAUAUAUAUAUAUAUAUAUAUAUAUAUAUAUAUGAGUACAAAAAGAGCGUACAACGUUAAAUAUUUUGGAUCUUUCACGUCGAAUUCGAGACCGACGUCAUAUCAAGAAACGUUAAAUCAAUGUCGAAUUUAAAAAAUUUGACGAACGUCGAAUUUUGUUAAUAUACGAUAUUAAAUUAACGUCGAGUUUUGUAAAUAUACGACUUUAAUCAAUUUUUUUUUGUUUUUUAAUUAAUUGUGAUAUUUUUUACAAUUCUAUAAGACCUGAAAAGCAUAAAAACAACAGAUUUCAGUUUUUAGUAUUUUAUAAAACAUGAACUAUGAACGUGUCGUGUAGUAUCAACAACAAACAACAAUAACCAACAACAAACAAGUUUAAUCAAAUAACAACAACAAACAAGUUCAACCAAACAACAAUAACAAACAAGUGCAACAAAAAAACAACAAACAAGUUCAACAAAUAAGUUCUUCAAAACGAAAACAAAAACUAACCUUCAAAAGGUGGGUUCUUCGGAAUAAAAUAUCAUCACGAGCGAGAAAGUAGAAUGCGCCUAUGAAGGACAAGAACACGAAAAUAAUCGAUCAAAACAAACGAAAAUCAUAUAUAAAGUAGUUAAUUAACAUGUAUUUGUAUCAAAUGAAAGAAAGAUUAAAUGUGAUGGUCGUCAAACUUCGUUCGAGAAAAGUUUGAGAUGAGAAUAGGGUCUCACGUGCUGAGAUAAAGUGAAUGAAUUUUCAUUCUCACGUUCAAAUUUUUAUUGAAUUCACUAACCUUUUGACGUCUAACGCUAGUGCAUUCGACGUUUUAUAUCCUUUUAUAUUGAACUACAAUUCUAAAUGACGUCUAAUAAUUGCAUUUACUUACAAAACUAUCACCGGUCAUUUUUAAUCUUGGUUAUUCAGUGGUUGGAUGUUGAAUGCAUGACGUUAUAUGCUGUUUUUGCACCAUUGAUAUACAAUCAUUGCAGAUGGGUACCAAAACACCACAAAAAAAAUGAAGGAUAAUUAUUUAUUUUUAAAAGUCCUAUCACAAUUUUAUAAAGAUUUAAAAAAAACAUCAUAUUGUGUCAUUCAUAUAGACUUAUUUAUGGAAUACUCAUGCAUUGAGUUAAACACAUGUGCUAGUCAUGCACCUAUCAUGAACUAUUAUAUUAAAAUACAACAUUCACUUCUCGUAUUCUAAACCUCCAUCCAUCCCAAAAUUAUCAUGAAAAGUUUAAUUCCUUUCCAUCCUUUAAGUUAUAAUAACAUUUCAUACUAAUCCCAAAAGCUGGAACCUCUUUCGAAACUCACUACCUAAACCUCAUUCUCUAUAUGAGUAUGAGAGUUUAGUAUUUAAUAUGAAAUUUUCCAAUAUAGAAAUAACCAUAUUAAUAUGAUUCACAUAUCAUUCAUUCUCAUCAAAUCAUGAAAAACAUUCACACACAUGACAUACAUACUAGAAUUUCAAUUGGGUCUGUAUAUUCUUACACAAGCAUUCAAAAACACAUAUUAGAAAUCAUAUAGACAGCUUCACUGCACAUUUUACAAACUAUUUGGGACGUUAAAAAGUAAACUACAGCUUCCACAAAAUUUCCAAAAUUAUUUUCUUACAUUCAAAUUAAAGAUAAUUGAGUCAAGAACAUAAUUUCAAAAUAAUCAACCUAAUUGAAUAACUGUAGAAAAAGUUAUGCAUUGAACAAGUAACAAAGGUCAAAGUAGUCAAUAACCUAAUAUAUGGAAACUUGACAAGAAACACUACUCUUACUAUAAACAAUUAAUUAAAGAUCUGGCUGGUCAAAGUAAAUAAUUGUGUGUCUAGGAUCAGUUUUUAAAAUUUCAACUUGACCCAAUAUUUAAUGAAGCAAAAAUCUUUAUUUUACCAAAAGUACAUAGUGUAGGAAACUAGAAAAUGCCCAACGGUGAUGUUAAUAGCCGCUCGAAACUACAAUCUUCAAAUCCCAAAACUUACUUGCAAUAACUGAAACUAAUUCCUCUCAAAACCCACACCUGUAAUAUACAUUAUAUAGCUUCCAAACAUGAAAACAAGACCCCAAAAUCCAAGCAAUCAAAACAAACAAGGUGAGCUUCCUUUACUACUAUCAUUAUUACUACAAAACAAUUUCAUUUUUAAUAAAGGGUUAAAUAUGUUUUUGGUCCCUUAACUUUCAGUGAAAAUUGGAAUUAGUCCCUCUUCAAAACUUUGGCCUAAUUUAGUCCUCCAACUUUAAAAAUGUAUGAAUUUAGUCAUUUUAACUAAAUUUUGUUAGGUUUUUUUUAUGAUUCAAGCAUGUUUCAUAAUAGCAUUUAGGUUGUUUACACUGUUUGACACAUAUUUGCUUCAAUGUCAACUGAGAAACACGUUUAAAACAUCAAAUAAAAUUAACAAAAUUUGGUUAAAAGGACUAAAUUCAUACAUUUAUAAAGUUGAGGGACUAAAUUAGGCCAAAGUUUUGAAGAGGGACUAUAUCUAAUUUUCACUGAAAGUUAAUGGACCAAAAACAUAUUUAACCCUUUAAUAAAUCAUCUAAAAUGAUAGCAAAUUAAAAUUUUAAUGAAAUACACACUACCCUUUCAAAUAAUAAUAUUUUCAAUUACUAAAUAAAAUUCAUCAUUUCUAUAUAUCAUAAUUCACAACUCUUCUUUUUAAUUACGUCAAAGAAAGCAACAUCUGAUCAAUAAAAUAUGUUAAAAGGUUUAAUACAAAUAAAUGAAUUAUUAAACAGAAUUUUGAUCCUUUAAACCCUGCAAAGUCUUGUUUCUUUUUUGCAUAAUUAAAAUAAAUGAGUAUUGAUAUAUUAUCUUGAAGUAAAAAGAUUCGAAACAAACAUGUUCAGCCUUUAAGUUCAAAGCAUGAGAGGCUGGGACUAUGUACGUAGCCUUAGGUUUUAGGUAUGAUGUUAUCUUCUAAUUAGUCUCCAUCUAAUUAGUAUCUUAUUUAUUUGGCGUUAAGUAUAUUUAGUGAACAAACUGUGUUUUGUCAUUAAGACAUUUAAAUUAGUUUUAAUAAUAUUAAAGAAAAAAUUAUUCAUAUAGGAUUAAUUUAUGUGAUGUACGGGUAUACAAGUACAUUGGAUCCGACUUAUAAAUGUAUGUUGAUACAUUUAUUUAAAAAUAUAGAUAUAUGCUGAUACGUUUAUUUUAAAUAUAAUAAAAUACUAUAUGUAAAAUAUGUAUAUUAAAAAAUGUAUAAUAAUUUUUAAAAAUAUGAUAAAUAUAUAAUUGUUAUGUUAUAAAUUCAAAUUAAAAUUAUAUAUAUUAAAAUUAUUAAUAUAUAAAUUAUAAAUUAUUGUUAUCGUAUAUCUCAUAAAUUAGAUAUUUCAUUAAUAAAAUAUUUUAAAAUAUCAAAUAUAGAUAUUAGACACAAAUACAUUAUCUAAAUUGAAGUAUUCGUCUAUCAUAUAUUAAUUCUUAAACAUUGGGUUAACUGGGGAACAAUGGAGAAAAGAGAGUACACAUUAAAUGUUCUGGUUCUGGAAUCCAUAUUUUUUGCCUAUAUCAUACUACAUUCAACUAAGACAGCAGAUAAAUCGUGAAUUUGAAAAGAGAAGAUAGAAGCAUACCUUUUUCUAGUCACACUCAAUACAACUGAUCAUAUAUACUUUCUGUCAAUUUAUUUACGAAUCUCAGAUAAGCAUUUCUCCAAGAACGCCAAAGUAGCAUUGGCCCUACUAAACUCCAAAAUCCGGUGAAGUAUCCGAUCCCCAUGCUCAUGUAUAAUGCCUCAUAGAAACAGCUAUCUUUAUCAUCGUUGAUUGCUUCAGCUUUUGAAAGAUUUGUUAUUGUUCGAUCUCUAUCUCCAGGACAACUUUUUCUCAGUUGUUCACCACAAAGAUCAAUGUUUCCUUCAAAACUAGACUCAUCAAAGGUUUCAAAGUGUCUUCCCCAUGGAAUUCUUCCUGAAAGAGAGUUGUGUGACAAGUCUAGUUUCCCCAGACCGUCAAUUUCAGAAAGAGAAGAAGGAAUUUUCCCACUGAAAUGAUUUCUUGAUAAAUCGAUGGACUCUAGUGAUCUUAAACUCCCAAUCUCACAAGGAAUUUCUCCUAUCAGAUUAUUUUUGGAUAAAUUCAGAGAAACUAGCCCAAUCAAAUAUCCAAUCUCCUUCGGUAUUUCACCAGUUAAAUUAUUACUUGAAAUAUCAAUGCUCUUAAGCUGUAACUCUGGAUUUUUGAAACCCUGUUCCACACCUUUCCACAUCAAGCUUAUGCUAAGGGUGUAAUUUUUCUUAGCAUAAAAGCCAUACAUUUCAACAUAAGUGAUAUUCAUCGAAUAUAUACGAUUUAGAGUGUCACUUGUGUUGAUGUUCUUUUUAGUCAUUGCAGUCAAAUUCUUUAAGCAUGAUGGAAUUCCUUUUGAUAACAUAUUUCUCGAAAGAUCUAAGAAUUGAAUGUGCUUCAAAUAACAGAGUUCAAUUGGAAAAUGUCCAGAGAAAUUAUUCGCUCGCAUGUUCAAUAUUAUCAAUUGUUGCAUAUUUUCCCCUAUCCAUGAUGGUAUUGGGCCAAAAAACAAAUUUCCGGCCACAUCCAACAUAAUUAAAUUGCUGCAAUUCUUCAAAGUGGAAGCUAAUUCACCUGUCAGGUUAUUGUUUCGUAAAACCAAGACUUCCAAUUCAACAAGGCUGCCCAUGGACACAGGAAUCUUCCCUGACAAUUUAUUGUUGCUUAAAUCAAGAAACAAUAACUGAUGUACAGAUUUCCAACAGUCUGGGAGUUGUCCCUUCAAUUGAUUGUUUGAUAAAUCCAAGGUGGCCAUUACAUCUGUGCGUUGGUCACAUAUGAAUGAAAACAAAUCUGAAAAUUUAUUAUCAGAAAGCCUUAGGUCUGAAGCUUGUAAUAAAAAUUGUGGAAUUUUUCCUUCAAAAUUAUUUGAAUUCAGAAAUAUGGACGGUCUAUUGAAAAGCUUCAAUGAUAUAUUAUUAGGAAUUGCACCACAGAGAUUAUUCUGAGACAUAUACAAAUAUGCCACAUUAUGCAUGUUGCUCCAAAACCAUUUUGGUACUGAACCAUUAAGUCUAUUCUCAGAAAUAUCCAGAAAACGUAAAUAGCGUUGAGUCUGGAGCCAACUAGGAAAGCUAGGACCCAACUUGCAAGAUCUUAGUUCCAAGCUUAUUAUUUGAAAAGAAGGAACCCAGUUAGGGACUAUUUUUAGAGAUAAGGAGUUAUCUGACAAAGAUAAGAACCUUAAUUUGGAAAACUUUGAAAGAUGGGAUUCAGUGACAUCACCCUCCAAGCAAUUUCCAUCCAAGUACAAGAACUCCAACUCAGAUAACAAUCCAAUGCUUAUAGGUAGAAUGUCGGUAAUCUGGUUAUCAGAUAAACACAAACCCUGAAACACGUGUCUGUUGCACAAUGAAGAAUUUUGAAUUAAGCUAGAAAUGUUCCCACUCAACUUGUUGUCUGAGAGGUCUAAACUCUGCAAUGUGCACAUGUUCCCAAAGAAAGAUGGAAU